rnacentral:rRNA from 1 species
CAGCAGCCGCGGGAAUACGUAGGUGGCAAGCGUUGUCAGGAAUUAUUGGGCGUAAAGGGCUCGCAGGCGGUUUCUUAAGUCUGAUGUGAAAGCCCCCGGCUCAACCGGGGAGGGUCAUUGGAAACUGGGAAACUUGAGUGCAGAAGAGGAGAGUGGAAUUCCACGUGUAGCGGUGAAAUGCGCAGAGAUGUGGAGGAACACCAGUGGCGAAGGCGACUCUCUGGUCUGUAACUGACGCUGAGGAGCGAAAGCGUGGGGAGCGAACAGGAUUAGAUACCCGUGUAGUCCCUGUCUCUUAUAC